UUAACUAUUAUAUAGUACUCAGACUUCACUAAUAUUCAGAGUUGGGUCCUUUGGCGGGCACGUACGAGCCGGAGCCCGUAGUGGAGACCACGGUCCGCCAAAGCAACAGAGGUAUAGAGACACGGGUUGCGAUAUCCUAGAAUCUAGUGCCCGAGAGGGGUUAGAAUGCUGGGGGUUUUAUCCCCCUCGGCUAACACAAUUCUACAACUCGGGCCACGGAUUGUAUAGGGGAGUACCCUAUCCAGUCCGCUUUUGUCUAGAGCUAGGGUUAUCUUUUUUAAUGAUCCUUCCGCAGGUUCACCUACGGAAA
rnacentral:misc_RNA from 1 species